GACGAACGCUGGCGGCGUGCUUAGCACAUGCAAGUCGAACGGAAAGGCCCUGCUUUUGUGGGGUGCUCGAGUGGCGAACGGGUGAUUAACACGUGAGUAACCUGCCCUUUACUUUGGGAUAACUUCAGGAAACUGGGGCUAAUACCGGAUAGGAGCUCCUGCUGCAUGGUGGGGGUUGGAAAGUUUCGGCGGUUGGGGAUGGACUCGCGGCUUAUCAGCUUGUUGGUGGGGUAGUGGCUUACCAAGGCUUUGACGGGUAGCCGGCCUGAGAGGGUGACCGGCCACAUUGGGACUGAGAUACGGCCCAGACUCCUACGGGAGGCAGCAGUGGGGAAUAUUGUACAAUGGGCGGAAGCCUGAUGCAGCAACGCCGCGUGCGGGAUGACGGCCUUCGGGUUGUAAACCGCUUUCGCCUGUGACGAAGCGUGAGUGACGGUAAUGGGUAAAGAAGCACCGGCUAACUACGUG
rnacentral:rRNA from 1 species